rnacentral:lncRNA from 1 species
CCAACGUGGCUAUCCGUCACUGGUUAGAAAUCUGAGAACGGUCACUUGAACGAAUCACAUGCUGCCACAUCGGUCGACGUGGGACAGGUGAAAAGAUGGGUGACAUUCAGUGUUUCACGCUGGCCAAAGCCCUAGUGGUCAAAUUCGGUCGGGUAAGGCAUCCUUUAAUUAAGUGAUGCGAAGCGACAGCACUAAGGUCCGCUACCACCGUUGGCGAACCGAGGGGGGUUAAACUGGG